rnacentral:rRNA from 1 species
AUACGGGAGGCAGCAGUGGGGAAUCUUGCGCAAUGGGCGAAAGCCUGACGCAGCAACGCCGCGUGCGGGAUGAAGGCCUUCGGGUUGUAAACCGCUUUCAGCAGGGACGAAAAUGACUGUACCUGCAGAAGAAGCUCCGGCUAACUACGUGCCAGCAGCCGCGGUAAUACGUAGGGAGCAAGCGUUAUCCGGAUUCAUUGGGCGUAAAGAGCGCGUAGGCGGUUUGUUAAGUCAGAUGUGAAAACUGGGGGCUCAACCCGCAGCCUGCAUCUGAAACUGGCAGACUUGAGUCUGGUAGAGGAAAGUGGAAUUCCCAGUGUAGCGGUGAAAUGCGCAGAUAUUGGGAGGAACACCAGUGGCGAAGGCGGCUUUCUGGGCCACGACUGACGCUGAGGCGCGAAAGCUAGGGGAGCAAACAGGAUUAGAUACCCUGGUAGA